rnacentral:rRNA from 1 species
GAUGAACGCUAGCGGGAGGCCUAACACAUGCAAGCCGAGCGGUAUUUGUUCUUCGGAACAGAGAGAGCGGCGCACGGGUGCGGAACACGUGUGCAACCUGCCUUUAUCUGGGGGAUAGCCUUUCGAAAGGAAGAUUAAUACCCCAUAAUAUAUUAAGUGGCAUCAUUUGAUAUUGAAAACUCCGGUGGAUAGAGAUGGGCACGCGCAAGAUUAGAUAGUUGGUGAGGUAACGGCUCACCAAGUCAAUGAUCUUUAGGGGGCCUGAGAGGGUGAUCCCCCACACUGGUACUGAGACACGGACCAGACUCCUACGGGAGGCAGCAGUGAGGAAUAUUGGACAAUGGGUUAGCGCCUGAUCCAGCCAUCCCGCGUGAAGGACGACGGCCCUAUGGGUUGUAAACUUCUUUUGUAUAGGGAUAAACCUACUCUCGUGAGAGUAGCUGAAGGUACUAUACGAAUAAGCACCGGCUAACUCCGUG